AUACUCUCAACAUCCAACCCUAGCUGUCGAUGCUUUUAAGCCCUCUCCGUUGCGCUAAGGUGACUCUACCGGUGAUACUUUUUAUCAAAAUGACCCACAAUGCCUUCUCUUCUCUUCCAUCCGAACGAAUCUUUCGAAACAUGAAUAAGGACAAGCAAAACUAGACCAGAGCGUUAGUCUCUUCACUCGUUGGAUUCACAUUGUUCAUCUUCGGAUGUGAUUGAAAUCACGCAACGUUCCUCUCUUCGACUUAGGCUCCUUAUCUACCAUUUUGAUUCACCGAAGAAAGCUCUAACCGUCACCAACUUAAGAACCCGAGAAGGUGAUAAUGAGGGCUUCUGUUUACUUUGUGCUCUUCGUCAUCAUAUUGAACUUUCAUUGAAUUUUCAAGAGUUGUAUUGCCUCACAAAAGAUUUUACAAAUUGAACUGUAUUGCAUCAUUUUUCAAAGAUAUCAACAGGAAGAAGCUCACGAGUUCCUGCAAUGCAUGUUACAUAGACUUGAAAGCUGUUGACUAAAGCCCAAGAAUGAUUUGUCCUCUGUUGAUUAUUUCCUCUGGUCGCCUGGUUAGCAGAGUAUAAAUGUUACAACUUGAUC